rnacentral:rRNA from 2 species
AAAUUGAAGAGUUUGAUCAUGGCUCAGAUUGAACGCUGGCGGCAGGCCUAACACAUGCAAGUCGAACGGUAACAGGAAGCAGCUUGCUGCUUCGCUGACGAGUGGCGGACGGGUGAGUAAUGUCUGGGAAACUGCCUGAUGGAGGGGGAUAACUACUGGAAACGGUGGCUAAUACCGCAUAACGUCGCAAGACCAAAGAGGGGGACCUUCGGGCCUCUUGCCAUCAGAUGUGCCCAGAUGGGAUUAGCUUGUUGGUGAGGUAACGGCUCACCAAGGCGACGAUCCCUAGCUGGUCUGAGAGGAUGACCAGCCACACUGGAACUGAGACACGGUCCAGACUCCUACGGGAGGCAGCAGUGGGGAAUAUUGCACAAUGGGCGCAAGCCUGAUGCAGCCAUGCCGCGUGUAUGAAGAAGGCCUUCGGGUUGUAAAGUACUUUCAGCGGGGAGGAAGGUGUUGUGGUUAAUAACCGCAGCAAUUGACGUUACCCGCAGAAGAAGCACCGGCUAACUCCGUGCCAGCAGCCGCGGUAAUACGGAGGGUGCAAGCGUUAAUCGGAAUUACUGGGCGUAAAGCGCACGCAGGCGGUCUGUCAAGUCGGAUGUGAAAUCCCCGGGCUCAACCUGGGAACUGCAUUCGAAACUGGCAGGCUUGAGUCUUGUAGAGGGGGGUAGAAUUCCAGGUGUAGCGGUGAAAUGCGUAGAGAUCUGGAGGAAUACCGGUGGCGAAGGCGGCCCCCUGGACAAAGACUGACGCUCAGGUGCGAAAGCGUGGGGAGCAAACAGGAUUAGAUACCCUGGUAGUCCACGCCGUAAACGAUGUCUACUUGGAGGUUGUGCCCUUGAGGCGUGGCUUCCGGAGCUAACGCGUUAAGUAGACCGCCUGGGGAGUACGGCCGCAAGGUUAAAACUCAAAUGAAUUGACGGGGGCCCGCACAAGCGGUGGAGCAUGUGGUUUAAUUCGAUGCAACGCGAAGAACCUUACCUGGUCUUGACAUCCACGGAAGGUCUCAGAGAUGAGACUGUGCCUUCGGGAACCGUGAGACAGGUGCUGCAUGGCUGUCGUCAGCUCGUGUUGUGAAAUGUUGGGUUAAGUCCCGCAACGAGCGCAACCCUUAUCCUUUGUUGCCAGCGGUCCGGCCGGGAACUCAAAGGAGACUGCCAGUGAUAAACUGGAGGAAGGUGGGGAUGACGUCAAGUCAUCAUGGCCCUUACGACCAGGGCUACACACGUGCUACAAUGGCGCAUACAAAGAGAAGCGACCUCGCGAGAGCAAGCGGACCUCAUAAAGUGCGUCGUAGUCCGGAUUGGAGUCUGCAACUCGACUCCAUGAAGUCGGAAUCGCUAGUAAUCGUGGAUCAGAAUGCCACGGUGAAUACGUUCCCGGGCCUUGUACACACCGCCCGUCACACCAUGGGAGUGGGUUGCAAAAGAAGUAGGUAGCUUAACCUUCGGGAGGGCGCUUACCACUUUGUGAUUCAUGACUGGGGUGAAGUCGUAACAAGGUAACCGUAGGGGAACCUGCGGUUGGAUCACCUCCUUA